rnacentral:rRNA from 1 species
CAAUAGCGUAUAUUAAAGUUGUUGCAGUUAAAAAGCUCGUAGUUGGAUUUCUGGUGGGAGCGAUCGGUCUGGCGCUUAGCGCGAGUACUUGCAUCGUCUCCGGCCAUCCUUGGGGAGAGUCUGUCUGGCAUUAGGUUGUCGGGCAGAGGAUCCUCAUCGUUUACUGUGAAAAAAUUAGAGUGUUCAAAGCAGGCUUAUGCCGUUGAAUAUAUUAGCAUGGAAUAAUAAGAUAGGACUUUGGUACUAUUUUGUUGGUUUGCGCACCAAAGUAAUGAUUAAUAGGGACAGUUGGGGGUAUUCGUAUUCCGUUGUCAGAGGCGAAAUUCUUGGAUUUACGGAAGACGAACUACUGCGAAAGCAUUUACCAAGGAUGUUUUCAUUAA